ensembl:snRNA U2 U2 spliceosomal RNA
AGAGGUUCUUGGCCUUUUGGCUAAGAUCAAGUGUUGCAUCUGUUCUUAUCAGUUUAAUAUCUGAGUAUGUUUUACCUGUAAGGUAAGUUCUACUGAAAUCCAUUGGAUUAAUGGCCAUGUAAACAGCUGGCAUCCUAAGGUAAGUUAUUUUACAGAAGACAGUGGAAAGGAAAGUUUUCUACCCCCU